CGGGGGAUAGCCCGAGGAAACUCGGAUUAAUACCGCAUACGCCCUGAGGGGGAAAGGGGGCAAUUUAUUGCUCUCACUAUUGGAUGAGCCUGCGUAAGAUUAGCUUGUUGGUAGGGUAAUGGCCUACCAAGGCAACGAUCUUUAGCUGGUCUGAGAGGACGAUCAGCCACAUUGGGACUGAGACACGGCCCAGACAUCUACGGAUGGCAGCAGUUAAGAAUAUUGGACAAUGGGGGCAACCCUGAUCCAGGUAUACCGCGUGUGUGAAGAAGGCCCUAGGGUUGUAAAGCACUUUAAUCGGAGAAGAAGCAUUUUAAGUUAAUACCUUAAUAUGUUGACGUUAACUGAAGAAUAAGGACCGGCUAACUCCGUGCCAGCAGCCGCGGUAAUACGGAGGGUCCAAGCGUUAAUCGGAAUUACUGGGCGUAAAGCGCGCGUAGGCGGUUUAGCAAGUUGUAUGUGAAAGCCCUGGGCUCAACCUGGGAACUGCAUCCAAAACUACUAAGCUAGAGUACGAGAGAGGAGAGUAGAAUUUCUGGUGUAGCGGUGAAAUGCGUAGAUAUCAGAAGGAAUACCAAUGGCGAAGGCAGCUCUCUGGCUCGUCACUGACGCUGAGGUGCGAAAGCGUGGGUAGCAAACAGGAUUAGAUACCCUGGUAGUCCACGCCGUAAACGAUGACAACUAGCCGUUGGGCAGAUUUAACUGUUCAGUGGCACAGCUAACGCAUUAAG
rnacentral:rRNA from 1 species